CAGCAGCCACGGUAAUACGUAGGUGGCAAGCGUUGUCCGGAAUUAUUGGGCGUAAAGGGCUCGCAGGCGGUUUCUUAAGUCUGAUGUGAAAGCCCCCGGCUCAACCGGAGAGGGUCAUUGGAAACUGGGAAACUUGAGUGCAGAAGAGGAGAGUGGAAUUCCACGUGUAGCGGUGAAAUGCGUAGAGAUGUGGAGGAACACCAGUGGCGAAGGCGACUCUCUGGUCUGUAACUGACGCUGAGGAGCGAAAGCGUGGGGAGCGAACAGGAUUAGAUACCCCCGUAGUCCCUGUCUCUUAUAC
rnacentral:rRNA from 1 species